UUUAAAAGUUUUUAUAUAACUUUUGAUCAAAACCGUUGAAUAUUAUAAGAUCUAAAAGCUACAAACUAGUGUAAAAAUAUCUUCAAAAUCUUUGUCCUUAUCUCAUCCCUAUAUAUAAAUGUUAUUCUUGUCUCCAAAAGGCAGACUGAGACAAACCCUAGAAACAUUUUCCUCUCUUUGCCGCUCACUCUCACUCUCUCUCUCUCUCUCUCUCUCUCUCUCUCUCUCUGUGUUUCACUUCGGUGCAAGCAAAAUGGAGUUUUUGAGAGGGCUUUGGCUGAGAUAAACUCACCAUGAUCCUCCCUCUCUUCCCGCUCCAUUGGAAGGAAAAUGGGGUUUUGAGGUGGUAGUUCUAGUGAUGGUGGUGGUAUCAGUUCAUUACAGUGAGCCAAGUUACUUGAGAAUUGCAUGAAGUGUGGUGGUUGGUUGGAUUGUCAUUUCUGUAUUUUUAUCGGUGGUUUUUGAGAUCUGUUGCAGCUGGGAUUAUUGAGUUUAUUUUUAUCGGUGGUUUUUAGAUAUUCAUACAUGUGCAUCUUCACCUUGUAUCUCUUAAGUUUAAUAAGUGGUGGUUAGGGGGUUUAGAGUGAUGUUUGAAUCCAGCAUCUCCUGCAACUAGAGCGACGAUAUGAUUUUAGAAUACCAAUAAUCCUUGAAAGUUGAAGUUCUUGAGAAGGAUUACAUUGUUGACCAAGCUAACAACCAUGUAAAUAUGAGAUUCUACAUGAUUGAAGCAUAUACUUUCACCGUUAGAUAUGCUAACAACAACUCCUCAGCUAAAAAAACUACAUGACCUGAUGUUUUGAUAUAAGAAAUAUCUUCAUGUGUUUGUACAUAAGUAGAAAUAUGAAAGUUGUGACCCUUACAAUGGUGGCAAUGUCUCUGAACCUGAUCAAGUUUUGCGGCUGCAGGUUUAUGAAGGCUAAUAUGAUAAAGGCUAAUAUGAAUGACAAUAGAGAUUAUUGUAUAAGUGUAUAAGAUUUAAAGGCUAAUAUGAUAAAUUAAUUUAGUUAUGAUUCUCUUGAAAGUGAUUAUAUAGUACAAAGUUUCAAAGGGUUCAUUCAAAUGCAUUUCACAGAACAUGAUAUUUGUCAAAUGUUGUUUAUUGAGAUUGCUGAUGUGGUUGUCUUCUUUAUUUGUCAGUGCAUAUUUCCUUUAAUGCUAUUUGAAUAUUUCUUUUUGCUUGCUGUUGUAGUCCUCCUUGGGUUGUCUGAAUAGUGUGGCAUGUCUUACAUUUUGACGAUAAGACUGUAAGACAUGUAACACAUUGUUGUAUGUUAAACAUCACAAAAGGAAGGAGUGUUGACUAUCUUCCUUUUCUUUGUUAUCUUUUCUGUUUGAUUGGAUUUAGGUUUCUUUGGAAUUUUAUUUUGUAAUUGAAGGUUUACUGAUUGAUUUGUCGGAAAUUGGGUUUCUACUUCUAAUUUGAAAGUGGGGUUUUCUUAAUUUCCUUUUUGUUUCCCCUGUUGUUGUUUAUCUUCCUCAAAGUUGCUGUGUUAUGGGGAUUUUGUACACGUCUGAGUCGGGGGUGGGAGGGGAAUUGUAAGAUAGAUAGUCUUUUGCUCUUGUGGUGUCUGAAGGAGUAGGGACAAAUUUAAAACUCUUAUGUUGUUUAUGUUUGUGAAAUUGCAGCUCCAAUCAAAAGUUGCUUGCUUUUAUCAUUGCUUUGACUGUAUGAGAACGUUUCAAUGUCAAUUUCAAUUGUACUCAUAAACUCCUCUUGUUAAAGGAUUUGCUUAUAUAGAUAAAAGGUUUGUUAUGAAGUAUGUGAAAUGAAACCUUGAUCUUCAAAGUAUGGAGUUUAAGUCAUUAUGUAGUUACACGUAUGCAGAUAUCUGAACUUGUGUGGAAGCUAAUCCAACAUUUUGAUGUGGUUUUCUUAUUUUCUUUGUUUUUCAUAAUCUUGUUUGACAUAUUAUCUACUUGUGAUGGGAAUUUUUUAAUUACCUACUUUAUUCUUUUAUCUUGAAAACAGAGGAUGCCCACUACGGUUGUAGUUAUUCUAGUUGAUGAGGGCGCCAUAUUUGCAGUGGAUGCUAGGGGUUUCUACGAGAAUAGUGAAACUGAAUCUCAUGGAUAUCAUGAUGAGGGUCAUGAGUUUAACUAAAGACCAUUUGGUUUGAAUUGUGGGAUACAAGGAAAUAAUUGAAGUAUGUUUGAAUAUUUGGAUUAACAUGUGCGAAACCUUUUGAAACAGGAAAUGCACCUUAUAUAUAUAUAUAUAUAUAUAAUAUUAUAUUACAAUGUCAUCUGACUUUGAAUUAAUGUAGAAUAUAAACCUGACUAUUGAAUGAGUCGCAUCGGAAUCACUUCCUACAAAAAAGUUGGCAAUUUCAAAGACAUCUCCCUGUAUUAUCUAUGAAUCGCAUAGUUUUCGUUGCGAAUCCUUCAACGAUAAGGUUUAUGUCCUACAUUAAUUCAAAGUCUCAUGAUCUUAUAAUAUACAUAUAUAUAUAUAGCUAUAAGGUGCAUUACCUGUUUUAAAAGGCUUUUGCACAUGUUUAUCCAAAUGUUCAAACAAACUUCGAUUAUUUCCUCGUGUCCCACACUUCAAACUAAAUAGUCUUGAGUUAAACUCAUAUCCUCAUCAUGAUAUAAUGAGAUUUAGUUUCAUUAAUCUCGUAGAAACCCGAGUAUCCACUGCAAAUAUGGUGCCCUCAUCAACUAGAAUAACUGCUACUGUAGUGGGCAUCCUCUGUUUUCAAGAUAUCACAAGCAGAUAAUAUGUCAAACGAUUAUGAAAAACAAUAAGAAAACCAUAUCAAAAUGUUGGAUUAGCUUCUACACAAGUUCAGAUAUUUAUAUCUAAUCGUUAAAUUUAUUGACACAGGUCAAAUCUGACCUAAAAUAUAGUUUCAAAAAAUUUAUUUUCAAUGUGAUUAUAUUUGAUAAUAACCUUAUCGCAUUAACAAAACAUAUUAUUUAUGAGUAAUGGUACACAUACCACAUUCACAUGUUAGUAAAAAAAAA